rnacentral:rRNA from 1 species
AAGGAUCAUUACCGAGUGCGGGCUGCCUCCGGGCGCCCAACCUCCCACCCGUGACUACCUAACACUGUUGCUUCGGCGGGGAGCCCUCUCGGGGGCGAGCCGCCGGGGACUACUGAACUUCAUGCCUGAGAGUGAUGCAGUCUGAGUCUGAAUAUAAAAUCAGUCAAAACUUUCAACAAUGGAUCUCUUGGUUCCGGCAUCGAUGAAGAACGCAGCGAACUGCGAUAAGUAAUGUGAAUUGCAGAAUUCAGUGAAUCAUCGAGUCUUUGAACGCACAUUGCGCCCCCUGGCAUUCCGGGGGGCAUGCCUGUCCGAGCGUCAUUGCUGCCCAUCAAGCCCGGCUUGUGUGUUGGGUCGUCGUCCCCCCCGGGGGACGGGCCCGAAAGGCAGCGGCGGCACCGUGUCCGGUCCUCGAGCGUAUGGGGCUUUGUCACCCGCUCGAUUAGGGCCGGCCGGGCGCCAGCCGACGUCUCCAACCAUUUUCUUCAGGUUGACCUCGGAUCAGGUAGGGAUACCCGCUGAACUUAA